rnacentral:rRNA from 1 species
CGAUUGAAUGGCUCAGUGAGGCCUUCGGACUGGCUCAGGGAGGUCGGCAACGACCACCCAGAGCCGGAAAGUUCGUCAAACUUGGUCAUUUAGAGGAAGUAAAAGUCGUAACAAGGUUUCCGUAGGUGAACCUGCGGAAGGAUCAUUACCGAGUAAAGGGUCCUCUGGGCCCCAACUCCAACCCUCUGUCUACACUACCGACGAAGCUGCUUCGGCGGGCUUAAACCCCCCGCCGGCAGCCCAUCAAACCCUUGCUUUUUGGAUGCACUGUCUGAAUACAAACGUUAAUAAAUUAAAACUUUCAACAACGGAUCUCUUGGUUCUGGCAUCGAUGAAGAACGCAGCGAAAUGCGAUAAGUAAUGUGAAUUGCAGAAUUCAGUGAAUCAUCGAAUCUUUGAACGCACAUUGCGCCCCUUGGUAUUCCGAGGGGCAUGCCUGUUCGAGCGUCAUUUCAAACCUCAAGCACCGCUUGGUAUUGGGCGCGGUUCCCUCCUUUGGAGGGCGACCCGCCUCAAAGGCCUCGGCGGCGUCGUCCGGCUUCGAGCGUAGUGGAACUUUUAUCAGUCUCGCUUUGGAAGCUUCGGGCGGUCGCCUCGCCGCGAAAAACCAUAUUUCUCCUAUAGUUUGACCUCGGAUCAGGUAGGGAUACCCGCUGAACUUAAGCAUAUCAAUAAGCGGAGGAAAAGAAACCAACAGGGAUUGCCUCAGUAACGGCGAGUGAAGCGGCAACAGCUCAAAUUUGAAAUCUGGCCUCUUCGGGGUCCGAGUUGUAAUUUGUAGAGGAUGCUUCGGAGUCGGCUCCGGUCUAAGUGCCUUGGAACAGGACGUCACAGAGGGUGAGAAUCCCGUAUGUGGCCGGCCGCUUUCUCCAUGUGAAGCUCCUUCGACGAGUCGAGUUGUUUGGGAAUGCAGCUCUAAAUGGGAGGUAAAUUUCUUCUAAAGCUAAAUAUUGGCCAGAGACCGAUAGCGCACAAGUAGAGUGAUCGAAAGAUGAAAAGCACUUUGGAAAGAGAGUUAAAAAGUACGUGAAAUUGUUGAAAGGGAAGCGCUUGCAACCAGACUUGCCCGCGGUUGCUCAACCGGCCUUUUGGCUCGGUGCACUCUUCCGCGGUCAGGCCAGCAUCGGUUCGGGCGGUCGGAUAAAGGCCUUGGGAAUGUAGCACCCUUCGGGGUGUGUUAUAGCCCUCGGUGCAAUGCGGCCAGCCUGGACCGAGGUCCGCGCUUCGGCUAGGAUGCUGGCGUAAUGGUUGUAAGCGGCCCGUCUUGAAACACGGACCAAGGAGUCUAACAUCUAUGCGAGUGUUUGGGUGUCAAACCCAUGCGCGUAAUGAAAGUGAACGGAGGUGGGAACCCUUGGGUGCACCAUCGACCGAUCCUGAUGUCUUCGGAAGGAUUUGAGUAUGAGCAUAGCUGUUGGGACCCGAAAGAUGGUGAACUAUGCCUGAAUAGGGUGAAGCCAGAGGAAACUCUGGUGGAGGCUCGCAGCGGUUCUGACGUGCAAAUCGAUCGUCAAAUUUGGGUAUAGGGGCGAAAGACUAAUCGAACCAUUGACACAAGUCAAGCUACUAGGUGGUUUAAAGGCGACCCCAUCCCUCGCGGUGGAAGGCUCGCCUAGUCCCCACAUCCGGGGCUACACUACUAAAUUGCGGGGACGCUCUGAGGGCUCGAGACUACCGCGGCCGCCCCGAAAGGGACGGUGCAGCACCGGGGUGUACCACCCCGCGGUACGGUGAAAACGUCCGAGACUGAGCAACCGCGCAGCCAAGUCCUAACCCGGGCACCCCCCGGCACGGAUGCAGUUCACAGACUAGACGGUAGUGGGUGCGAGCGAACGCUCGCGCUUAAGAUAUAGUCGGACCCCCUCGAGAGGAGGGUUCGCGGGAGGAAGCCCUCGCGUCGGAUGCCCCUUUGACCGUCGGUCGGAGGGGGUGCGUCGGGGGCCCGAGACCCGCGAAGGGGAGGCGUCGCCACCCCGGGAUAUUCGCUAGUAGCUGGUUCCUGCCGAAGUUUCCCUCA